rnacentral:rRNA from 1 species
UAACGAGCGCAACCCCUACCUUUAGUUGCCAUCAGGUAAUGCUGGGGACUCUAAAGGAACUGCCUACGCAAGUAGUGAGGAAGGCGGGGAUGACGUCAAAUCAGCACGGCCCUUACGUCCAGGGCUACACACGUGCUACAAUGGCCGAUACAGAGGGCAGCUACCUGGUGACAGGAUGCAAAUCUCCAAAGUCGGUCUCAGUUCGGAUCGGAGUCUGCAACCCGACUCCGUGAAGUUGGAUUCGCUAGUAAUCGCGCAUCAGCCAUGGCGCGGUGAAUACGUUCCCGGCCUU